rnacentral:rRNA from 1 species
UACGGGGGGGGCAAGCGUUGUUCGGAAUUACUGGGCGUAAAGGGCUCGUAGGCGGCCCAACUAAGUCAGACGUGAAAUCCCCAGGCUCAACCUGGGAACUGCGUCUGAUACUGGAUGGCUUGAAUCCGGGAGAGGGAUGCAGAAUUCCUGGUGUAGCGGUGAAAUGCGCAGAUAUCGGGAGGAACACCUAUGGCGAAGGCAGCUCGCUGGGACGUUACUGACGCUGAGACGCGAAAGCGUGGGGGAGCAAACAGG